AGUUGGGUGUUUUUACAAGACAUUAUUUUUUUUGAAGGUUGGGGUGGGGAUGAAGGUUGAAAAACGUAACUCGACACAGGUGUGCAUGGGUUCGGCUAUAUUUGGGCCGCGGCCUUUCUCUCCUUGGCCUAGACCGCACUCGGCCAUCACUUGUCUGCGCACCUGAAUCCACUGAGGAUGCAACCCAGCGAGCUGGGUCUACUCAACCCUCGGACAUUGAACCUGUUGAACUUGCUGAAGUUAAAGCCCUCCCAGGAUGCAAGUGGUCCUAAAAACAGGUACUAUCUAGAAGUGAGCCAUCCGAGUUGUUGCCUUCAAGAUACUUGCACUCCCGGGGAGGAGAAAAAAUAAGCCAAUAAAUAAAUAGUAAAAACAUAAAAAUAUAAAGGAUGACAGCUUUCUUUCCCAGACAGGUUACAAAUUCACUGAAUGGAGAGGCUGCAUCAUCUUCGUUGUGUGGCCCGUCACCCUAAGUGCCUAAUGAGUGAAAGACACUUGAUAACAAAAUCUUCCAAAGAUGCCCGGUGCUCAGCACGGAGGAUGUGCACAGCGGUGUAGAGGCUCCAGCCCUGUGAUGGUCUCCAUUCUGGGCUCGCCUGGCCCCAGCUUCCCUGCUGAGGUGCUGAAAAGGGAGCUCCGAUGUCCAAGCUUGAAUGUUUCAGGAUGAGAUGCUGUGCAGGUAGAUUGCUACAGGUGGGUUUGGUGGGUAAGUAGAGGCAGUGUGGUGUGGCAGGGCAAGCAUCGGACUCUGGGCUGUUCUCAGCGCUGUCACAAAUUCAUUCACUGAGGGACCUUGGACCCUUCGUACCUCUGUUUCCUUUUAUACAAAAUGGAAAAAUAUAUUUUAUGGUGGCGUUCUGAGAGUCCAGUGAGACCCAUGUGUAUGAAAAUGUUUUUAGAAUUAUAAAAAGCCAAGGGCUCCUGGCUGGUUCAGUCAGGGGAGCAUGAGACACUUGAUCUCAAAGUUGGGAGUUCAAGCCCCACGUUGGGUGUAGGGAUAACUUAAAAAAAAAAAAUCAAAUCUCAAAAAAAAAAGAAUUCUAAAAAAAGCAUAGAAAUAUGUGUUUUUAUAGUUAGCUCUAUAUAUCACCUCCCUCAUGGGUAUUCCCUCCCUCCCCACAAUUCUAGCACACACCCAGUAGUCAUCUACCAUUCACUUUUUGGAUAACCUGACCAAAAUAUAUCACAUCUAACCUACUCUCCUUCUCAUGGUCCAUGUUCCUCUACACGCUCUUAAAUAGAUGCACAGGGGGUGGGGGGAGAAUUAUAAGGCACAUUUAUAGGAUUAUCCACUCUUGCCCCUAAGCUCCAACUUCCCAUUAAAGAAGGGACUCAAGGCCAGCCUAUGAUAAAAGCUUGUUUUUAUAAAUGCAGUAAAAUAUUUUUAGCAUUGUAUUUAAAGAAUCUUAACAUGGAUGCAAUAAAACAUACAUUAAUUGUAAAACCUGUUUUCAAAGAAAAUACCUCAUUUUAGAUUGUUUCACAUGCCUAGACUUGGGAGAAAGAAAAAAAGUUGGAUGAGAUUAAGAGUUAAAAUUGAUUGAACAUCACUAUGAGCAAAGCACUCUGCUAAGUAUUGUCAGAUCUAAAGUUAAAAGCAUGACUCAUUCAAAUAUAAAGGGAGCACAUGUCAGGGGCACCUGGGUGGCUCAGUUGGUUAAGUGUCCACUUCAGCUCAGGUCAUGAUCUUGCAGUUUGUGAGUGCUAGCCACGUGUCAGGCUCUGUGCUGACCGCUCGGAGCCUGGAGCCUGUUUCGGAUUCUGUGUCUCCCUCUCUCUCUGCCCCUCCUGGGCUCGUGCUCUCUCUCUCAAAAAUAAACAUUAAAACAAAACAGGGAGCACGUGUCAAAGAUUUCUUAACUCAUGAAUGAGGGAACAGACAAGAUAGUUCAAAAAGAAUUAGGAAGAUGGAAGUAUUUAUAGGGGCUGAGCAAGAAAGAGGAGCACAUGGAUAAAAUUUGUAAUUUAGGUACAGACCUGGUUCAUGUCCUAGAGGGCAGUAACAGGAUAAUCUUGGGAUUAUCUUUUCAACCCUGAAAGCAGUUUCAUGUCUUCUGGACAAAAUCAAUUUGCAUUUCUCUUGGACAAGAAUCAUUUGCAUUGCUAGCACUUUUCUACAAGUUAACUUUUACACUUACAGAAUUCCAAAAUCUCCUUAUGGUGAGAUUGAGUAAAUAGCAAUUCAAACAAAAGUACCCACCUAGAGAAUCAGAUAAUUCACCAAACAGGUCUACACACAACCCUGGCUUAACACUGAAAAAGACUUGCACGUUUCCAAAUUUUUAGAUAAUUUUAUUUUUAAAUUUUUAUAUUUUUAUUUUUUUAAUGUUUAUUUAUUUUUGAGAGAAAGAGACAGAGUGUGAGUGGGAGAGGGGCAGAGAGACAGAGACACAAAAUUGGAAGCAGGUUCCAGGCUCUGAGCUGUCAGCACAGAGCCGGAUGCGGGGCUUGAACCCACGAAGAACCCACAAACCGUGGGAUCAUGACCUGAGCCGAAGUCGGACACCCAACUGAGUGAGCCACCCAGGCACCCCUGGAUACUUUUAUUUUUAACAGCACUUAUGCAUAGUGUAUGGAAGCAUUUAAUAUUUAUUAUUUUGUGCGACCUACACAAUUCUGUAAAGUGGUUAUUAUUAAUUCCAUUUACACGGAUGAGGAAACUGAAAAUCAAGGAGACAAAGAAAUUUGUUCAAAUUCACUGGAACAAAUGAUUACCCAGACCUGUUAAAUUAUGAAAUCCUUGCUUUUCUUGCUACAGUGUAUAUAUCACCCCCCAAAAAUGUUUUAAUUGUCUUUAUUGAGAUAUAGCAUACAUAUGGCACAGCGCAGAUAUCUUAAGUACACAUUUUAAUGGCUUUUUACAUAUAAGGACGUAUGUAUAUGUACGUGUCUUUUGUCAAACACAUAUUACCAUGACCCAGAUCAAGAUGUUAAACAUUUGUAGUGCCCCAGAGGUUCUCAUGCCUCUUUCUACUCAAUCCACCAUCACCACUAACCCCAGGUCACCCUUUUUUUUUUUUCUACAUCUAUCACCAUAAAUUAGUUUGGCCUGAUUUUCAUAAAAUGGGUCAUACAUACAGUAGCUGCUGUUUUGUGUCUGGUAUCUUUUGCUCAUAAUUAUGCCUGUGGCAUACACCCAUGUUGUUGCAUGCGGUAGUAUUCUUUCCAAAAAAACUGUUUACAAAGUUCAUUGCAUGAAUAUACCCAAACUUAUCUAUUCUCUUGUUGAGGGACCCUUGAGUUGUUUCCAAUUUUUGGCUCUAAGGCAUAAAGCUAUUAAGAAUAUUUUUGUAUAUCCUUUCUGUGAGCAUGAGCAUAUAUUUUUGUUGGCUGUAUACUCCGGAGGGGAGUUGUUGGGUGGUACAUUUAUAUAUUUUUGGUUUUAGUAAGUUCUGCCAAAUAUUUUUCCAAAGUGGUUGCACCAGUUUGCAUUCCUACUACCAUAGCAGUGUAUGAAGAUUCCAGUAAGUUCACAUCCUUAACAACACUUAAAUCAUUACUCUUUAUUUUUAACUAUUUUGUGAUAUGAAUAAGUAUUCCUCUGCAUUUAAAUUUGGUCCCUGUUAUAAAAGAAAGAAAUAAUAUGACAGUUCUAUAAAGCAUUAGGUCUGAGAAAGUGAUAUCAAAUAAUAUUAGCUCUGUCUGGAGUGCGUGGAUGGAUCCCAGUGCUUCCAAUUUGGGGGUUAUUUUAAUAGGUGAGUGUAACAUACCGAAAUAAAACUAUGUCUUUUUGAUACAUUCCCUCUGUUCAUUUAGGGUGCCAUGAUUUUGAUGGCAUUUACCAAUCAAACCUAUUUGAUAAAAAUGCUCAGGGAACCUGGGUGGCUUAGUCAAUUACAUGUCCGACUUCAGCUCAGGUCUUGAUCUUGAGACUCGUGAGUUUGAGCCCCACCGCUCUCUAUUGUCAGUGCACAGCCUUUGUCCGAUCCUCUGUCUCCCUCUCUCUCUCUGUCCCUCCCCCAUUUGCGCACUCUCUCUCUCUCAAAAAUAUAUUUUUUUAAAUGCUUAGUAAUAUUAGAAAGCUUCUUUAAAUUUAGCACUGUAUAAAAAGACUAAGUUAGGAACCUAAUUACUACUAUGUAAAGGACCAUGCAUAUUUGAAUAAAUCUAACCAUAAAUAUAAACAAGCUACAAUUAAUAUACAGAGAUCUAACUUCAGAAUGGGUCCCUGUACCAAGGAGAUAGUAAACACAUAGUGCUUGAUAUAUGUUUAUGAAUGAUAUUGAUUGCACACCUCUUCUUUCUUUAUCAGUUCUGAGUGGGGCUUUACCUUUUUUGUUGUUGUUGUUGUUGUGUUUUGUGUGCUGGUCCACAUUAGAUCAUUACCUAAAUUGAGGCAGACUCACUAAUUUACAGAAAAUUUGCAGUCUCCACAGAUACCCUGGAUGUACAUCUUAAACAGUCUACAACUAUUUCUAAAUCUGUAGUUAUUUUUAUUCCUACUCCACAAAUUAAUAUAAUUUAGGACCCUAGGGAAGACUGCUUUCCUUCAAUGGCCAGACUUUGAAUUCACUAUCUUUUCUUUUUACAACAAUGGGUGAAUCUUUGAUAGACUGCUAUGAUUCGGGGCAGAAAAAACAAACAAACAAACAAAAAAAAGCUGCCUGGCUUUAAAUCCUAUUUCUAUUACUUAACCAUGUGACCUGUGGUAAGUAAUUUAACCUCUGUACACUUCAGUUUCCUCAUCUGUAAAAUGAGAAUAAUCACUCCAACGUAGGAGGGUUGAGAAUUAAAUGAGCUAUUAUUUGUAAAGCAUGUAGAACACUAUCUGAUACACAGCAACAAUAUACAGACAUUUGUUUAGUAAAAUAAAUUUGAAAUCUUACCUCAAAGUGUCUUCUACUCAAUCACUCAAAAGACUUCUCUUUGGAUUCCUGUAUGCUCUCUUCAAAUAUCCCCCUCUGGAGCCAUACGUCCCCCCAUGCCAGCUUAUGCACAAUCCUCUCAAAGAAGAACAAGAUACUCAGUGAUAGUGACCCCCAAAACACACAACAAUGUGCACGGAUCUCCUAUGCAUUAAGGAAGCACUUGAAAUGUGUGGUAGUUGUUUUGCAACAAUUACUGACAUCUGGCAACUAGGGAUCUGUUAAGGACUCAACGAGAUGUAAACGUAGCUGUAAGAAUGGGCAAGCAUUACGAAACUUCUUGUUCCUGUACUGUUUCCGCUGGUGUCUUUCCAUCGAUUGCAUCCCUUGUGACACCUAUGAAAUGUUCCACACGAGAGCUAACUUCCACAGAAAAUCAGAAGUAGCUUCUAGAACCUGUGAGGCUGCCCGCCCCCACCCCCCUCCCGGGGCAGAGUCUCCACUCUCCACUCUGGAUGCGGGCCCCAGCUACCCCGUUCCCCAGCUCCCGAGGGACUUCUCCCCUCUGUGAUGCCCCUCUCUGGCCCUCCCCCUUUCAUUCGUCUCCAACUCUCCUAAAACCCUCUGCAUCUUCAGCUUUGCUCCUCAGCCUAGGUGGUCACUUACUCCACUGCUGCAGCAUCUUUCCCGGAGACAGCUGAAGACAGGCUCUGGGUCCAGUGAACAAUGAUGAGAGAAGAAAGCUACGUUUGCCCUUCAGCCCCCAGGUCUAGCAUCCAGGAGAAGAGUCUGACUUUUCACACCACUCCAAGGGACUGCCUUUUGGCAUGACGCCAAUGCAUGUAGCUAGAAGAGAGACCCCCUUCCUUCUAUGUAAGUUUCAUAAACAAGUCCCUGAAGCCUCUCCUACCUUGUAGUAUUCGGAGCCCUGAUACUGGGUUCAGUCACAUGCACGUGUGAUGCCAAACACGUAUUACCUCCCACCAUAGCAAACACAGAUUAAUUGGAGCCCUCGCAUGUCUGAUCAUUUUUUCUAAAAGUAGAGGUCGUGGACUGACGCUGAGAAGUGGCCAGAAAUGUCUAAUAGGAGACCAGUUUAGUAAGAAGAUAGGUAGUUCUAUAGAGGUCCUCCACUGGUAGGCAAAUCAGCCAAACACUAUAACAACUGAGAUUUGUGGGGCGCCUGGGUGGCUCAGUCAGUCAAGCGUCCGACUUUGGCUCAGGUCACGAUCUCGCAGUUGGUGAGUUCGAGCACCAUGUCGGGCUCUGUGCUGACAGCUCAGAGCCUGGAGCCUGCUUCUGAUUCUGUGUCUCCCUCUCUCUCUGCCCCUCCCCCACUCACACUCUGUCUCUCUCUUUCUGAAAAAUAAGUAAGCAUUAAAAAUUAAAAAAAAAAAAAAAUAGGGGCGCCUGGGUGGCUCAGUCGGUUAAACAUCCGAUUUCAGCUCAGGUCAUGAUCUCACAAUCUGUGAGUUCAAGCCCCUCAUCAGGCUCUGUGCUGACAGCUCAGAGCCUGGAGUCUGCUUCAGAUUCUGUGUCUCCCUCUCUCUCUCUGCCCCUCCCCUGCUCAUGCUCUGUCUCAAAAAUAAA